UGCUGCAGACCCGAAACGAAGUGAUCUAUCCAUGAGCAAGUUGAAGCUAGUGUAAGAACUAGUGGAGGACUGAACCCAUAGGCGUUGAAAAGCCCCGGGAUGACUUGUGGAUAGGGGUGAAAGGCCAAUCAAACUUCGUGAUAGCUGGUUCUCUCCGAAAUAUAUUUAGGUAUAGCGUUGUGUCGUAAUAUAAGGGGGUAGAGCACUGAAUGGGCUAGGGCAUACACCAAUGUACCAAACCCUAUCAAACUCCGAAUACCUUAUAUGUAAUCACAGCAGUCAGGCGGCGAGUGAUAAAAUCCGUCGUCAAGAGGGAAACAACCCAGACUACCAGCUAAGGUCCCUAAAUCUUACUUAAGUGGAAAACGAUGUGAAGUUACUUAAACAACCAGGAGGUUGGCUUAGAAGCAGCCAUCCUUUAAAGAAAGCGUAAUAGCUCACUGGUCUAGUGAUUUUGCGCGGAAAAUAUAACGGGGCUAAAGUAAGUACCGAAGCUGUAGACUUAGUUUACUAAGUGGUAGGAGAGCGUUCUAUUUGCGUCGAAGGUAUACCGGUAAGGAGUGCUGGAGCGAAUAGAAGUGAGCAUGCAGGCAUGAGUAGCGAUAAUUAAUGUGAGAAUCAUUAACGCCGUAAACCCAAGGUUUCCUACGCGAUGCUCGUCAUCGUAGGGUUAGUCGGGUCCUAAGUCGAGUCCGAAAGGGGUAGACGAUGGCAAAUUGGUUAAUAUUCCAAUACCAACAUUAGUGUGCGAUGGAAGGACGCUUAGGGCUAAGGGGGCUAGCGGAUGGAAGUGCUAGUCUAAGGUCGUAGGAGGUUGUACAGGCAAAUCCGUAUAACAAUACUCCGAGAACUGAAAGGCUUUUUGAAGUCUUCGGAUGGAUAGAAGAACCCCUGAUGCCGUCGAGCCAAGAAAAGUUUCUAAGUUUAGCUAAUGUUGCCCGUACCGUAAACCGACACAGGUGGGUGGGAUGAGUAUUCUAAGGCGCGUGGAAGAACUCUCUUUAAGGAACUCUGCAAAAUAGCACCGUAUCUUCGGUAUAAGGUGUGGUUAGCUUUGUAUUAGGAUUUACUCCGAAAGCAAGGAAACUUACAACAAAGAGUCCCUCCCGACUGUUUACCAAAAACACAGCACUCUGCUAACUCGUAAGAGGAUGUAUAGGGUGUGACGCCUGCCCGGUGCUCGAAGGUUAAUUGAUGGGGUUAGCAUUAGCGAAGCUCUUGAUCGAAGCCCGAGUAAACGGCGGCCGUAACUAUAACGGUCCUAAGGUAGCGAAAUUCCUUGUCGGUUAAAUACCGACCUGCAUGAAUGGCGUAACGAGAUGGGAGCUGUCUCAAAGAGGGAUCCAGUGAAAUUGUAGUGGAGGUGAAAAUUCCUCCUACCCGCGGCAAGACGGAAAGACCCCGUGGACCUUUACUACAGCUUGACACUGCUACUUGGAUAAGAAUGUGCAGGAUAGGUGGGAGGCUUUGAGUAUAUGACGCCAGUUGUAUAUGAGCCAUUGUUGAGAUACCACUCUUUCUUAUUUGGGUAGCUAACCAGCUUGAGUUAUCCUCAAGUGGGACAAUGUCUGGUGGGUAGUUUGACUGGGGCGGUCGCCUCCCAAAUAAUAACGGAGGCUUACAAAGGUUGGCUCAGAACGGUUGGAAAUCGUUCGUAGAGUAUAAAGGUAUAAGCCAGCUUAACUGCAAGACAUACAAGUCAAGCAGAGACGAAAGUCGGUCUUAGUGAUCCGGUGGUUCUGUGUGGAAGGGCCAUCGCUCAAAGGAUAAAAGGUACCCCGGGGAUAACAGGCUGAUCUCCCCCAAGAGCUCACAUCGACGGGGAGGUUUGGCACCUCGAUGUCGGCUCAUCGCAUCCUGGGGCUGGAGCAGGUCCCAAGGGUAUGGCUGUUCGCCAUUUAAAGCGGUACGCGAGCUGGGUUCAGAACGUCGUGAGACAGUUCGGUCCCUAUCUGCCGUGGGCGUAAGAAGAUUGAAGAGAUUUGACCCUAGUACGAGAGGACCGGGUUGAACAAACCACUGGUGUAGCUGUUGUUCUGCCAAGAGCAUCGCAGCGUAGCUAAGUUUGGAAAGGAUAAACGCUGAAAGCAUCUAAGCGUGAAGCCAACUCUAAGAUGAAUCUUCUCUAAGCUCUCUAGAAGACUACUAGUUUGAUAGGCUGGGUGUGUAAUGGAUGAAAGUCCUUUAGCUGACCAGUACUAAUAGAGCGUUUGGCUUAUCUUUAAUAAAGCAU
rnacentral:rRNA from 1 species